CAGCUGACUGUGUAUGUUUUGCAGGGCUGACGCAAGGUGGAACAGGCCUUUAUAUAUUACAAGCUUUGCUAACGUUUUAUAAUGAAACCUUGGUCUGAGUUCUUGGCUGAGCGGCGUGCCCAGGCUUGAGGAGGAAUCACAACGCGAUCCCUCGAGAAGCCAAAGCAUUCUUCUCAUCGCUCUCCACUGACUAGGUGAUCACUGACAUGCUAAAUAGUUUGGCUGGAAACCAUGGCUGCUCUCUCCUCCUUUUGAUCACAUACAGCUGGACAAGGAGGGGAACCCAGGACUCAAAAGCCCUAAACAACAGGUAUGUUUCGUUCAGCCAUAUGACGUUAUCUAUUUCAAGAAAAACAGUCUUUUCACACAGACAACAGUUGAGGCUGGAAGGGACCUUUAGAGAUCAUCUAUUCCAACAGCCAUGCUCACACAGGGUCACCUAGAGCACGCUGCACAGGAACCUGUCCAGAUUGCUUUGGGAUACGUCCAAGGAUGGAGACGGCACAGCCUCUCUGGGCAAUCUGUUCUUGUGCUCAGUCACCCUCACAGUGAAAACUGUUCCACUGUUUUCUUUCUGUUCAGGCAGAGCUUCCUGUGUUUCAGUUGGUGCCCAUUACCUUUCAUCCUGCCAAGAAGAUGAAAAAGUCUGGCCCUUUCCUUUUUACAUCAUCUCUUCAGAUAUGAUGGUAUCUUAACAUAUGGUUAA